ACCAAUUAUCAACGUUUCGGUUUCCUUGUCCAUAAUUCAUAUUCAGUGUUGGACUUUGUAGACGCAAGUUUAUGUAUUGACAAUCUUAUUUGUUAAAGAUAUUGGUCAUCCAGCUUAAAACAGUCUGUUAGUUGAAGUUCUGACUGACGUUUUCACAUCCUUCGCGGUGGUCAUCUUGGGACUCAAGUGAAGAAUCAAUCUCAGGAUUGCAGUAUUUGUCAGGUGCUUACGUUACAAGGUUAUUUGUGAAAAAAUGUGUGGGUGUGCAAGGGCCAAUUCUACUGUGUAUAUAAGCUGUCAGUUGUAGCGUGGUGAAACGACUUUAUAGCGACUAUUUUGAGCAGUCAUUUUAAACCAAGUUUAGAGUUAUUUCUAAGUUAGUAUUACCGUGUCUCAAAGUCUCUUCGAUAGUUUCUGUACACGCAAGAACAGGAAAGUAUUCCGUAUUCGAAGAUAAUUUAUCAUAAACCAUAAAUGAGGUCCUCUCUACAUAUUUAGCUCAAACAAAAUAACUAGUCUUGUAUCGUUCAAACUCAA